rnacentral:rRNA from 1 species
GACGAACGCUGGCGGCGUGCUUAACACAUGCAAGUCGAACGGAAAGGCCCUGCUUUUGUGGGGUGCUCGAGUGGCGAACGGGUGAGAACACGUGAGUAACCUGCCCUUGACUUUGGGAUAACUUCAGGAAACUGGGGCUAAUACCGGAUAGGAGCUCCUGCUGCAUGGUGGGGGUUGGAAAGUUUCGGCGGUUGGGGAUGGACUCGCGGCUUAUCAGCUUGUUGGUGGGGUAGUGGCUUACCAAGGCUUUGACGGGUAGCCGGCCUGAGAGGGUGACCGGCCACAUUGGGACUGAGAUACGGCCCAGAUUCCUACGGGAGGCAGCAGUGGGGAAUAUUGCACAAUGGGCGGAAGCCUGAUGCAGCAACGCCGCGUGCGGGAUGACGGCCUUCGGGUUGUAAACCGCUUUCGCCUGUGACGAAGCGUGAGUGACGGUAAUGGGUAAAGAAGCACCGGCUAACUACGUG